GACGAACGCUGGCGGCGUGCUUAACACAUGCAAGUCGAACGGUAAGCCUCCCUCUUGCUGCCUUACACGAGUGGCGAACGGGUGAGUGCCACAUGGGUGAGCUGCCCUGCCCUUCGUGACAGGCCUAGGCAACUGAGACUACUACCGGAUCGGACGGCACCGUGUGGGUGUCGUGGAAAGUUUUUUCGGUGUGGAAUAGCCCCGCGGCCUAUCAGAUUGUUGGUGGGGUAAUGGCCUACCAAGGCGGCGACGGGUAGCCGGCCUGAGAGGGUGGACGGGCACAGUGGGAGAGUGAGACGGGCCAGAGACCUACGGGAGGCAGCAGUGGGGAAUAUAGUGCAAUGGGGGGAAGCCUGAGGCAGAGACGCCGCGUGAGGGAUAAUAACCUUCUGGUAGUAAACAGCUUUCUCCGGCGAGAAAGGGGUUCUGACGGUAGCUGGAGAAGAAGCACCGGCUAACUACGUG
rnacentral:rRNA from 1 species